rnacentral:rRNA from 1 species
UACGGAGGGUGCAAGCGUUAUCCGGAAUCAUUGGGUUUAAAGGGUCCGCAGGCGGUCUUAUAAGUCAGUGGUGAAAGCCUACAGCUUAACUGUAGAACUGCCAUUGAUACUGUAAGACUUGAAUUCGGUCGAAGUGGGCGGAAUGUGACAUGUAGCGGUGAAAUGCUUAGAUAUGUCACAGAACACCGAUAGCGAAGGCAGCUCACUAGGCCUGGAUUGACGCUCAUGGACGAAAGCGUGGGGAGCAAACAGG